rnacentral:ncRNA from 1 species
CAGCUCCUGACCAAACAUCAUCAUCAGCGUAAAUUCACUCUGGAUUGUUCACCCACUAAUAGUGAACGUGAGCUGGGAUUAGACCGUCGUGAGACAGGUU